GUACUCGCUUCGGCGGUAUAUAUACUAAAAUUGAAACGAUACAGAGAAGAUUUGCAUGGCUGCUACGCAAGGAUGAUACGCAAAAUUGUGAAGCUUCCCACAUGUUC